rnacentral:tRNA from 1 species
GCGGAAGUGGCGGAAUUGGCAGACGCGCUAGACUUAGGAUCUAGUUCCUCCGGAGUGCAGGUUCAAGUCCUGUCUUCCGCACCA